GUUAAGCGACUAAGCGUACACGGUGGAUGCCCUGGCAGUCAGAGGCGAUGAAGGACGUGCUAAUCUGCGAUAAGCGUCGGUAAGGUGAUAUGAACCGUUAUAACCGGCGAUUUCCGAAUGGGGAAACCCAGUGUGUUUCGACACACUAUCAUUAACUGAAUCCAUAGGUUAAUGAGGCGAACCGGGGGAACUGAAACAUCUAAGUACCCCGAGGAAAAGAAAUCAACCGAGAUUCCCCCAGUAGCGGCGAGCGAACGGGGAGCAGCCCAGAGCCUGAAUCAGUGUGUGUGUUAGUGGAAGCGUCUGGAAAGGCGCGCGAUACAGGGUGACAGCCCCGUACACAAAAAUGCACAUGCUGUGAGCUCGAUGAGUAGGGCGGGACACGUGGUAUCCUGUCUGAAUAUGGGGGGACCAUCCUCCAAGGCUAAAUACUCCUGACUGACCGAUAGUGAACCAGUACCGUGAGGGAAAGGCGAAAAGAACCCCGGCGAGGGGAGUGAAAAAG
rnacentral:rRNA from 1 species